rnacentral:lncRNA from 1 species
AUGAAGAAUCUGGCGGAGGGUCGGUCGGCGGUGGACUUCGGAUGGCGUUGGGGAGGUUCGUCCGCUGGAGGAGUCUGGAAAUCCUAUGGAAGUCUGGAUGGCGUUGUGGAAGUCCGGCUGAUGCUAUUGAAGGCUGAUGGCUGGGGAGGUUCGACAGACAUCAGAGGUGAUCGACCGUUGUAGAAAUCCAGCUACUGGAGUCCAUUCGUUGUAGAAGCUCAUCCGAUAUCCAUCCACUAUGGAA